GAACAACUGCAGUUGUUAGAGGAACCUGAAACAGUGGUAUCCAGAGAAGAAUCAAGGCCUCCAAAAUUAGUCAUGGAAUCUGUCACUCUUCCACUAGAAACCUUAGUGUCCCCACAUGAGGAAAGUAUUUCAUUAUGUCCUGAGGAACAGUUGGUUAUAGAAAGGCUACAAGGAGAAAAGGAACAGAAAGAAAAUUCUGAACUUUCUACUGGAUUGAUGGACUCUGAAAUGACUCCUACAAUUGAGGGUUGUGUGAAAGAUGUUUCAUACCAAGGAGGCAAAUCUAUAAAGUUAUCAUCUGAGACAGAGUCAUCAUUUUCAUCAUCAGCAGACAUAAGCAAGGCAGAUGUGUCUUCCUCCCCAACACCUUCUUCAGACUUGCCUUCGCAUGACAUGCUGCAUAAUUACCCUUCAGCUCUUAGUUCCUCUGCUGGAAACAUCAUGCCAACAACUUACAUCUCAGUCACUCCAAAAAUUGGCAUGGGUAAACCAGCUAUUACUAAGAGAAAAUUUUCUCCUGGUAGACCUCGGUCCAAACAGGGGGCUUGGAGUACCCAUAAUACAGUGAGCCCACCUUCCUGGUCCCCAGACAUUUCAGAAGGUCGGGAAAUUUUUAAACCCAGGCAGCUUCCUGGCAGUGCCAUUUGGAGCAUCAAAGUGGGCCGUGGGUCUGGAUUUCCAGGAAAGCGGAGACCUCGAGGUGCAGGACUGUCGGGGCGAGGUGGCCGAGGCAGGUCAAAGCUGAAAAGUGGAAUCGGAGCUGUUGUAUUACCUGGGGUGUCUACUGCAGAUAUUUCAUCAAAUAAGGAUGAUGAAGAAAACUCUAUGCACAAUACAGUUGUGUUGUUUUCUAGCAGUGACAAGUUCACUUUGAAUCAGGAUAUGUGUGUAGUUUGUGGCAGUUUUGGCCAAGGAGCAGAAGGAAGAUUACUUGCCUGUUCUCAGUGUGGUCAGUGUUACCAUCCAUACUGUGUCAGUAUUAAGAUCACUAAAGUGGUUCUUAGCAAAGGUUGGAGGUGUCUUGAGUGCACUGUGUGUGAGGCCUGUGGGAAGGCAACUGACCCAGGAAGACUCCUGCUGUGUGAUGACUGUGACAUAAGUUAUCACACCUACUGCCUAGACCCUCCAUUGCAGACAGUUCCCAAAGGAGGCUGGAAGUGCAAAUGGUGUGUUUGGUGCAGACACUGUGGAGCAACAUCUGCAGGUCUAAGAUGUGAAUGGCAGAACAAUUACACACAGUGCGCUCCUUGUGCAAGCUUAUCUUCCUGUCCAGUCUGCUAUCGAAACUAUAGAGAAGAAGAUCUUAUUCUGCAAUGUAGACAAUGUGAUAGAUGGAUGCAUGCAGUUUGUCAGAACUUAAAUACUGAGGAAGAAGUGGAAAAUGUAGCAGACAUUGGUUUUGAUUGUAGCAUGUGCAGACCCUAUAUGCCUGCGUCUAAUGUGCCUUCCUCAGACUGCUGUGAAUCUUCACUUGUAGCACAAAUUGUCACAAAAGUAAAAGAGCUAGACCCACCCAAGACUUAUACCCAGGAUGGUGUGUGUUUGACUGAAUCAGGGAUGACUCAGUUACAGAGCCUCACAGUUACAGUUCCAAGAAGAAAACGGUCAAAACCAAAAUUGAAAUUGAAGAUUAUAAAUCAGAAUAGCGUGGCCGUCCUUCAGACCCCUCCAGACAUCCAAUCAGAGCAUUCAAGGGAUGGUGAAAUGGAUGAUAGUCG
rnacentral:lncRNA from 1 species